rnacentral:rRNA from 1 species
GACGAACGCUGGCGGCGUGCUUAACACAUGCAAGUCGAACGGAAAGGCCUUUUCGGAGGUACUCGAGUGGCGAACGGGUGAGUAACACGUGGGUGAUCUGCCCUGCACUCUGGGAUAAGCCUGGGAAACUGGGUCUAAUACCGGAUAGGACCGCACUUUAGUGUGUGUGGUGGAAAGUUUUUUCGGUGUAGGAUGAGCCCGCGGCCUAUCAGCUUGUUGGUGGGGUAAUGGCCUACCAGGGCGGCGACGGGUAGCCGGACUGAGAGGUUGGUCGGCCACAUUGGGACUGAGAGACGGCCCAGACUCCUACGGGAGGAAGCAGUGGGGAAUAUUGAACAAUGGGCGCAAGCCUGAUGCAGCGACGCCGCGUGGGGGAUGACGGCCUUCGGGUUGUAAACUCCUUUCGCCAGGGACGAAGCGUUUUGUGACGGUACCUGGAGAAGAAGCACCGGCUAACUACGUG